rfam:Sulfurimonas sp. RIFCSPLOWO2_12_36_12 rifcsplowo2_12_sub10_scaffold_9, whole genome shotgun sequence.
GCCCGGGUGGUGAAAUCGGUAGACACAAGGGAUUUAAAAUCCCUCGCUCGUAAGGGUGUGCCGGUUCAAGUCCGGCUUCGGGCA